rnacentral:misc_RNA from 1 species
GUAUAACAAUUCAUUUUCAUUCCUUCUAAAACAUUGGUGUGUGUGUAAAAAAAAACAUGUAGAUCAAAAGAAUACAAGGAAAGCCCCACAAAUAGCAACUUUGCAAAGCAGUCCUAACAAAGAUCCACACAAGUGAUGCACAAAUAAUGGAGAAAUGAAGAAUAACAAGCGUGCACGAUCUAGGAUCAGCGACAACUUGUUAUGGUACUUCAGUAAUGAUCCUUCCGCAGGUUCACCUACGGAAA